GUCUGCUUUCCGUCAUUGCGACAAACUACCUGAGAUAAUCAGCUUAUAAGAAGGAAAGGUUUAUUUGGAUCACAGUUACAGAGGUUUCAGUUCAUGAUCUGUCAUCAGGCCCCAUUGCCUUUGGGCCUGUAGCAAGGCAGCACAUCAUGGUGGGAGCACAUGACAGAGAAAUCUGCUCACAUCAUGGCCAUUGGGAAGCAAAAAGAAAGAGCAAGAGAGUGACAUCCCAUGGUCCCUUUUAAGGACACACAUUUAAUGACCUAAGACUUUCCCAACCCCACCUUUCAGAGGUCUGCCACUUCCUAGCAAUGUCAUGGGCUGAGGAUGAAGCCUUUAACACCAGGACUUUUUGGGGAAAAUCUUAGAUCGAAAAUUGCAGAAGAUGUUGACUCAAGAGGGUUUGUUGAUGGCAGAGAGGGAAAAGGAGGGAUCAAAGGUCCUCCUGAGAAUUUUUUACUACACAUUUUGGUGGAAGAGACUGCCUUUUACUAGAGGUGGUAGGAGCAAGUUUGGAAGCCACAGAAUUUAUGAAUGAUCACUUCAUUUUGGACUCAUCCCAUUACAGAUUCCUCUGAGAAUUCCAAGAAGUGUAAGAAGGUAUUUGGAUAUUCAAUCUACACUUUGGACAUGUCUAUGCCUGACUCCACCCAUAUGGUUGAGUUCCAUAUCCAUACCCACAGUUCUCGUGUCCUCUUGCAGACAUUUGGCUCCCUGGAGAGCUGUUACUCCAAGCUGAGCAUUCUCCUGUGUCAUCAGAAGCAAGGCUGUGUCCCCAGUAGUAUAAAGUGCUUUCCUUCAGCAUCACUUUGGAGGUGGGGACUCCGAUACUCGAGGAGAAGGGCGUUUGCUCAGAACCACACAGCAUGAUUCUGACUCUGAAACGGCAACAGCAAAGGAGCCCGGGCCUGCUCAGCUCAACUGUUUUCCAGCCCUGUCUUUAUCCAUGGUGCCCCUGGUCACCAAAAUGGCCUCAUUGCCUGUUGUGGUGAUCUACCGAAGGUCUCCCAAGUUCUCAUGUGUGUGGAGGGGACUGGUUCACUGAGAGCUUGCCCUGGAAAGGUGUAUCUGACUCCCCGGCUCCUCCCUUCACUCUCUCUGCUUCCUGGCCACUGCCAGGUAAACAAUUUGCCUCGGCCAUGCCCCGCUGCCAAGCCAUCUCUGCCUUGGAGCCAGCCACUUAUGAACUGUACCGUCAGCCAAAAUAAACCUCUCCUCCUUUAAACUGUGCUAUGGAGUAUAGUAAAACCCUGGAUUACGAGUAACUUAUUCUGUCAGUGUUCUGCAAGACUAGUAAACAUUUCUAAUGAACUUUAACUUAAUAAACAAGUGCUAUCUUGCAAGGUGAGUAGUGCAUGACCCCCCCAUGUCACAUGACCACAGUGAGCCAAUGGUUAUUCUCUCUCAUUUGUUGGGGGAUUGUGGGUGAUUAUCUCCUAACAGCAAAAGGCCAUGGAGAUCUUUCUUGUCUGCUGAGGAGGAGAAAAAUGUGGAGGAAUCCCUCACUUCAAAUGAGGUUGUAGAGAUGUAUAAAAUGUGGAAAACAGUGCAAAACUUUGUAGAAGAGCUCCACCCAAAUGAGGUCGUAGCAGUGCAAGCGAUAAAUCUGUUUAAUGGCACAUUCAUAUUUCCACGAAAUCCUCAAAAGGAGGCAAAGGGUCAUUGGAUAGGCUCCUCGUUAAAAGUGCACUAAAAGAAAAAGAGUCCACUAAGCCAGUAGACAGCUGCAGUGAUUCUUUUAGUGAUGGUAGAAGUCAUCAUCUCACACAAUACCUCUCCUCUCUUGUGUCCCUCACACCAGCCAUGAAGAUUUUCAAAUGUAAGUACAGGUUCAUUUAUGUGUGUGUGUGUGUGUGUGUGUGUGUGUCUGUGUGUGGUACCAGAAAUCAAACUCAGGGCCUCACGCUUGCCAGGCAUGUACUUCACCAUUGAGCUGUAUUUCUGGCCCCUUUUCUUUAUAGUUUGCGUUUUCUUUAUUUUGGAUUAUAUUACAGUGUUGUGAUCAUUUUUAUAUGAAUGUUUCUGAAUUGUGGAAUAAAUCAUCUGAGUUUCUAUUAUUUAUCCAGUUAUCCAUUUAUGGGGAAACUUGCUUUGAUAUGCAAGUGCUUUGGAUUACACACACGUUUCCAGGACAGUUAUGCUCUCCAGCCAAGGUUUUGCGGUAUUUGGC
ensembl:lincRNA